UACGUAGGGGGCUAGCGUUGUCCGGAAUUACUGGGCGUAAAGCGCGCGUAGGCGGCUUUGCAAGUCGGGUUGUGAAAUCCCCAGGCUUAACCUGGGAACUGCAUUCGAGACUGCAUUGCUAGAGUAUGGGAGAGGGAAGUGGAAUUUCCGGUGUAGCGGUGAAAUGACGUAGAUAUCGGAAGGAACAUCAGUGGCGAAAGCGACUUCCUGGACCAAUACUGACGCUCAUGUGGCGAAAGCGUGGGGGAGCAAACAGG
rnacentral:rRNA from 1 species